UUUUCAAUUACAUUACUAAUUUCGGCGUCGGCUGUUGGAGCUCCGUCCCCAAGCUCGCUGGCUUGGAAAGAUGUGGGAAAAGUUGUAGGCUAAGAUGGAUAAACUACUUGAGACCUGAUUUGAAGAGAGGGAUGUUCUCACAACAAGAGGAGGAUUUAAUUAUCAGUCUCCAUGAAGUUUUGGGGAACAGGUGGGCGCAGAUUGCAG
rnacentral:misc_RNA from 1 species